CAUCAUAUUAAUAAGUUAAUACAAGUUAAUAAAAUGGUAUUUGUUUACAGGUAUACAUUAAACUGUCUAUAACAUUAGCUGCACCAGACCCCAUUAUCCUCGGACGUCUUUUUUAUUUUAAAACCAGCUCCCACUGAAAAACAAUGUUCAUAUAUAAACUGUAACGCAGAGGCAUGUAGAUUAUUUAAAAAAAAAUAUAUCAUAAAUACUAAAUAGAACAAAAGUUAUUUCAAGAUCAUUGUGGGACACUCUG